AGAGUCUUCCGGCUCCUCUCUCGCGAAGGAGUGCUAGGCGCUUCCGUCCAGAAAGAACUUCAAAUACCGUGAUGCAAAGCGACUCGACGCACGCGGGGAGGAGGAAGAGGAAGGCACUCGGAAGAGGACAAGUGGUGGCUCCAGACUGUCUGAAGACAGGAGUCUGUCAAGUGUCUGCUUUAAGAAAUCAGGUGUGCUGGCUGCUCCUAACUCUCAGAAGAAUGGGGAAGGGAGAUAAAGUGAUGCCCAGCCCAGCCCACAGGACACCUCCCCGCUCCAAGCCCUGUUCCUUACAUGCUGUCAUUGCUGAACACGGCUAGCCUCUGGGACUCCUGAGGAGAAGAAAAUAUGCAAGGAAGAACAGGAGACAUUUAGAUCUUAAAAUACCAGAAGUCUGAAGAUAGCAAAUUAUCUCUGAGAUGUUUAUCUUCUCUCAACUAAUUUGAAAUGCUACUUUGAAAAUGUGUAAGAUCUUGUAUAUGCACCAGUCUUGGAAUAUUUUCUGGACUCUGCCCCAUUUCUGAUUUUUUUAGUGUCUUAUAGACCAAGUCCUAUUUUAUAACAAGUUUCUUAGUUAUUUGUCUGUUGUUCUGAGACAGGAUCUUACUAUGUAGCCUUGGUUAGCCUAGAACUCACUAUGUAGACCAGGCUGGUCUGGAAG
ensembl:antisense 1700034P13Rik RIKEN cDNA 1700034P13 gene